rnacentral:misc_RNA from 1 species
GAAAGGCGGUACUUGGUGUGAAUUGCAGAAUCCCGUGAACCAUCGAGUGUUUGAACGCAAGUUGCGCCUGAGGCCAUUAGGUUAAGGGCAAGUCUGCCUAGGCGUCACGCAUCGCGUGAUCCCUCCUCCAUUGCGUAGGGAUGGGGUGGAAUGUGACCUCCGGUUCCAAAAAGAGUAGUUGGUCGAAAUCUGAGCCCCGACCUUCAGAUGUCACGACCAAAGUGUCCUGUGACUGUAAAAGACCCUAAGGUGCAUGUUUACCCUCCUCUCGGGGGAGGGAAGCUUAUGCUACGACCGCGACCCCAGGUCAGGCUGGAUUACCCGCUGAAUUUAA